UACGUAGGGUGCAAGCGUUGUCCGGAAUUAUUGGGCGUAAAGAGCUCGUAGGCGGUUUGUCGCGUCUGCUGUGAAAACUCAGGGCUUAACUCUGAGCUUGCAGUGGGUACGGGCAGACUAGAGUGCGGUAGGGGAGACUGGAAUUCCUGGCGUAGCGGUGAAAUGCGCAGAUAUCAGGAGGAACACCGGUGGCGAAGGCGGGUCUCUGGGCCGUAACUGACGCUGAGGAGCGAAAGCAUGGGGAGCGAACAGG
rnacentral:rRNA from 1 species